rnacentral:misc_RNA from 1 species
AGACCGUGCAAAAGGAGAGCCUGUAAGCGGGCACUCUUCCGUGGUCUGGUGGAUAAAUUCGCAAGGGUAUCAUGGCGGACGACCGGGGUUCGAACCCCGGAUCCGGCCGUCCGCCGUGAUCCAUGCGGUUACCGCCCGCGUGUCGAACCCAGGUGUGCGACGUCAGACAACGGGGGAGCGCUCCUUUUGGCUUCCUUCCAGGCGCGGCGGCUGCUGCGCUAGCUUUUUUGGCCACUGGCCGCGCGCGGCGUAAGCGGUUAGGCUGGAAAGCGAAAGCAUUAAGUGGCUCGCUCCCUGUAGCCGGAGGGUUAUUUUCCAAGGGUUGAGUCGCGGGACCCCCGGUUC